rnacentral:tRNA from 1 species
AGAAACUUAGGUUAACUGAAACCAAGAGCCUUCAAAGCUCAAAAUGGGAGUUAAAAUCUUCCAGCUUCUG